UGGCGGGUCGUCUAACGGUAGGACAGAUGAUUUUGAUUCAUCCAAUCGGGGUUCGAUUCCCUGCCCGCCAG
rnacentral:tRNA from 1 species